UCGUUUAUAGAAUAAUAGAGACAUACAUAUUAAGAUAAUCUAUUACAAAUCGGUAACUAAGGGAUGCUGAGGCUGCCAGAUUUUUGUUUUUCUGCCCUUUAAAUGAUUGUGGGGAUAAAAGUGUGGAUGCACUUCAGUUGCACAGUUGAGCUACGUUUUUUACCCCAAAAGCUCGAAAAUAGCAAUUUUGACCCAAAUCACCACAUAGCAUGUUUGGCUAUAAAAAUUGCUGUUUCUCACAUAAAUAGACCAUUGAGGGUUCUUAUUCGUGGAGAUGUUAUUCGUAACAUUGUAUUUGAAUGCUCUGUUGAUACUAUUUCCAUAAAUAAACUACAAAAAAGUACAUUUUGAAUCG
rnacentral:lncRNA from 1 species